rnacentral:rRNA from 1 species
UACGAGGGGGGCGAGCGUUGUUCGGAAUUAUUGGGCGUAAAGGGUGCGUAGGCGGUUCCGCAAGUCCUGUGUGAAAUCUUCGGGCUCAACUCGAAGUCUGCACGGGAAACUGCGGGGCUUGAGUGUGGGAGAGGUGAGUGGAAUUCCCGGUGUAGCGGUGAAGUGCGUAGAUAUCGGGAGGAACACCUGUGGCGAAAGCGGCUCACUGGACCACAACUGACGCUGAGGCGCGAAAGCUAGGGGAGCAAACAGG